UUUGAGGGGAAUGUUGUCUGGCUCGAGGACCCUUUCAUCUUGGUCAAUAGUUUUGAUCAAGGAGUGUAUAGCGUUGUCGGACCAGGCUUCAUUCCCCCCAAU
rfam:Lupinus angustifolius cultivar Tanjil chromosome LG11, whole genome shotgun sequence.